GACGAACGCUGGCGGCGUGCUUAACACAUGCAAGUCGAACGGAAAGGCCCUGCUUUUGUGGGGUGCUCGAGUGGCGAACGGGUGAGUAACACGUGAGUAACCUGCCCUUGACUUUGGGAUAACUUCAGGAAACUGGGGCUAAUACCGGAUAGGAGCUCCUGCUGCAUGGUGGGGGUUGGAAAGUUUCGGCGGUUGGGGAUGGACUCGCGGCUUAUCAGCUUGUUGGUGGGGUAGUGGCUUACCAAGGCUUUGACGGGUAGCCGGCCUGAGAGGGUGACCGGCCACAUUGGGACUGAGAUACGGCCCAGACUCCUACGGGAGGCAGCAGUGGGGAAUAUUGCACAAUGGGCGGAAGCCUGAUGCAGCAACGCCGCGUGCGGGAUGACGGCCUUCGGGUUGUAAACCGCUUUCGCCUGUGACGAAGCGUGAGUGACGGUAAUGGGUAAAGAAGCACCGGCUAACUAAGU
rnacentral:rRNA from 1 species